rnacentral:rRNA from 1 species
UAACGCGUAGGUAACCUGCCUUGUAGCGGGGGAGUAACUAUUGAAACGAUAGCUAAUACCGCAUAACAAUGGGUGACUCAUGUCAUUUAUUUGAAAGGGGCAAAUGCUCCACUACAAGAUGGACCUGCGUUGUAUUAGCUAGUAGGUGAGGUAACGGCUCACCUAGGCGACGAUACAUAGCCGACCUGAGAGGGUGAUCGGCCACACUGGGACUGAGACACGGCCCAG